rnacentral:rRNA from 1 species
UACGUAGGGGGCAAGCGUUGUCCGGAAUUAUUGGGCGUAAAGAGCGUGUAGGCGGUCCGGUAAGUCAGCUGUGAAAGUCAAGGGCUCAACCCUUGAAAGCCGGUUGAUACUGUCGGGCUAGAGUCCGGAAGAGGCGAGUGGAAUUCCCGGUGUAGCGGUGAAAUGCGCAGAUAUCGGGAGGAACACCAAUGGCGAAGGCAGCUCGCUGGGACGGUACUGACGCUGAGACGCGAAAGCGUGGGGAGCGAACAGG